GAAUUCAGGGGUUUCCCAUUUUUGCUAAAGCAGAAAUUCACAGAAAGUGCAGAUAGAAUUCUGUGUCAGGCUGGAUCUGAGCACUCUGCCUAGCACAACAGUGUUUGAUCUCUGCUGCCGUUUUUAAGAGGGUUUUUUAAAUUCUUGGAAAAGUCUUAAGGAGUGCCUCAGGAAUUUUACUUCUUCAGCUCCUGUAUGAUCAAUCAGCACAUGGAUUGGAAAGAAAACUUUUGUGGGAUUUCUGUCUUGAGCUGGACUGAAACAAAAAGCAAAGUUAUCUCUGCAGGCUGGGCUUCCCCAGGCUUGCUCUAAAGCACUCCUGACAGGAAGGAAAAAAGCCGAUUUGGGGUGCUCCCCAGCCCACGUCCUGCUGUGAAAGCAUAGCCCACACCACCCUGCUGAAGGCUGGCUGUCCUGGCUGUCACCAGGGAGACUGGCUGCUGCCGCUGAGCCACUGGACUGGCCGGAGACAGAAGGGGAAAGCAAGGGAGAAGGGAAAUUACAUGCUUGAUUUUGCAGACAAAAUGAAUAUCCCUGCAGUGCCAGAGCGUCUUUAGGAGCAAAAGGUCUAACCGCCUCUGGUUUUAUCACAGCAGGACUUGAAUGCAUGCCUCAGAUUUAGCCGUGUUCUCAGACCUCUGCCGGCUUUAACGGCUGUAAAUCACAGGGGGUGCUCAGACUUCAAACUAUCCCAAAUCUGACCCAGGCUCAGAAACUAACUGGCUUCCCAGGCACAAGUCCUGAAAGUUGGGUAUUUAAAAUCACCCUACUUCUCUGCCGCCUCUUUUUUUCUCUCUUUUCUCCUGUUAAUGCCUGGGUGUCAACUUCUGAAUUGUACUUAAUUCAAGACUUUUUCACUUGGACAGUAUGUUAGCAUGAAUAUAAAAUCAAAUACACGCCUGGAUAGUAUUAGACAGUCAACAAGGGGUUUUAAAAUAUAUCUGGCUUUCAAAAGAUGAUUCAGAUACAAAGCUGAAGACUGUUUAAAUAAAAAUCCAGAUGUCUGCA